UACUCUCUCAACUUUGACCUUGGUUUUCUUCCAAGGCGUCAAAGGCUUGGAUGGUGGAGGUGUGCUGGCUGCCCAGCGGUUAGCUCCUCUGAAAAGAAUUAGCAAAGGGAAACGUACCAAUUCCUGCAUCUCAUGCUUCUGGCAUUGUUAAUUGUGUCUAUGCCUGUCAUUGCUGAGAUGCUUUAUGGAUCGUUGAGCAUCCUUGCUUCCAGUUGUCCCUCGGACUUUGUCA
rnacentral:misc_RNA from 1 species